rnacentral:rRNA from 1 species
UGCAUGCAGUCGAACGGGCAAUGGGGCUUCGGCCCCGGCGCUAGUGGCAGACGGCUGAGUAACACGUAAGUGAUCUGCCCCGGAGCGGGGGAUAAUCCGGAGAAAUCCGGCCUAAUACCCCGUACGUUCAUAUGGUCAAGGCCGUAUGAAGAAAGGUUUCGGCCGCUCUGGGAGGAGCUUGCGGCCUAUCAGGUAGUUGGCGGGGUAAUAGCCCACCAAGCCGAAGACGGGUAACCGAUGUGAGAGCAUGAUCGGUCAGAGGGGGACUGAGACACGGCCCCCACUCCUACGGGAGGCAGCAGCAGGGAAUCUUGCGCAAUGGGCGAAAGCCUGACGCAGCGACACCGCGUGGGGGAAGAAGGCCUCAGGGUUGUAAACCCCUUUUCUGGGGGAAGAGAUAGGACGGUACCUCAGGAAUAAGCAUCGGCUAACUACGUGCCAGCAGCCGCGGUAAUACGUAGGAUGCAAGCGUUGUCCGGAUUUACUGGGCGUAAAGGGUGUGUAGGCGGCAUGGUAAGUCUCAUGUGAAAUCUCCCGGCUCAACUGGGAGGGGUCAUGGGAAACUGCCAAGCUGGAGGGCAGCAGAGGAAAGCGGAAUUCCGGGAGUAGUGAUGGAAUGCGUAGAUACCCGGAGGAACACCAGAGGCGAAGGCGGCUUUCUGGGCUGUACCUGACGCUGAGACACGAAAGCGUGGGGAGCAAACCGGAUUAGAUACCCGGGUAGUCCACGCCCUAAACGAUGGAUACUAGAUGUAGGGGGUAUCGACCCCCCCUGCGUCGGAGUUAACGCGAUAAGUAUCCCGCCUGGGGAGUACGG